AUUGAACGCUGGCGGCAGGCCUAACACAUGCAAGUCGAACGAGUGGCGCACGGGUGAGUAAUGUCUGGGAAAUUGCCCGAUGGAGGGGGAUAACUAUUGGAAACGGUAGCUAAUACCGCAUACCAUCGGAUGUGCCUAGCUGUGAUUAGCUGGUAGGUGGGGUAAAGGCUCACCCAGGCGACGAUCCCUAGCUGUUCUGAGAGGAUGACCAGCCACACUGGAAGUGAGACACGGUCCAGACUCCUACGGAAGGCAGCAGUGGGGAAUAUUGCACAAUGGGCGCAAGCCUGAUGCAGCCAUGCCGCGUGUAUGAAGAAGGCCUUCGGGUUGUAAAGUACUUUCAGCGGGGAGGCGUUACCCGCAGAAGAAGCACCGGCUAACUCCGUGCCAGCAGCCGCGGUAAUAC
rnacentral:rRNA from 1 species